rnacentral:tRNA from 1 species
AGAGGGGUGUCCGAGCGGUCGAAGGAGCACGCCUGGAACGCGUGUGUAGCGCAAGCUACCGUGGGUUCGAAUCCCAUCCCCUCUG